rnacentral:misc_RNA from 1 species
GAAAUGCGAUAAGUAGUGUAAAUUGCAGAAUUCAGUAAAUCAUCGAAUCUUUAAACGCACAUUGCGCCCUAUAGUAUUCCGUAGGGCAUGCCUGUUCAAGCGUCAUUCAAACCUUCAAGCUCUGCUUGGUGUUAGGCGUCUGUCCUGCCUCACGGCGCGGACUCGCCUCAAAUCUAUUAGCGGCCAGCACGUUGGCUUCGAGCGCAGCAGAAACGCGAACUCGAGCCCGACGGAUCGGCUCCCAGAAGCUACCCCCAUGAAUUUAACCUCAGAUCAGGUAGGGAUACCCGCUGAACUUAA